GAUGAACGCUAGCUACAGGCUUAACACAUGCAAGUCGAGGGGAAACGCCAUCGAAAGCUUGCUUUUGAUGGGCGUCGACCGGCGCACGGGUGAGUAACGCGUAUCCAACCUGCCCAUCACUUGGGAAUAACCUUGCGAAAGUAAGACUAAUACCCAAUGACAUCCCACGAAGACAUCUGAAUGGGAUUAAAGAUUUAUCGGUGAUGGAUGGGGAUGCGUCUGAUUAGCUUGUUGGCGGGGUAACGGCCCACCAAGGCAACGAUCAGUAGGGGUUCUGAGAGGAAGGUCCCCCACAUUGGAACUGAGACACGGUCCAAACUCCUACGGGAGGCAGCAGUGAGGAAUAUUGGUCAAUGGGAGAGAGCCUGAACCAGCCAAGUAGCGUGCAGGAUGACGGCCCUAUGGGUUGUAAACUGCUUUUAUAAGGGAAUAAAGUGGGUCUCGUGAGACUUUUUGCAUGUACCUUAUGAAUAAGGACCGGCUAAUUCCGUG
rnacentral:rRNA from 1 species